CCCUGCUACAGGAAGUCAGUACCCAGGGAAGUCAAUAAAAGCUUCCCUCACCAACAUGGCUGGUUCCCCACUUCCUGUCAAGAUGGAGGACCAUACCACCACACCCAACUCAGGACACUCCCAACCACAGGCCUCCAGUCCUGAUACACCAGAGAAGUGCUCAUGAAGCCUGAUGACCUGAUACAUUUAGCAGACUCCUUCUUUGAGAUAAGGUAUCACCGCCCUCUAAAUGACUACAUCACCACGUCAGUCAUCUAUCUGGAAUGACUACUGCGUUUGACAUGAAUGCUUAAUUAUACAGGCUUCAGAGUAUUCAUGUUUUAAACAAGAUAUACAUAUAGAGCAACACUUGAACAAUCCUGACAUACAUAUUUGUGAGUCUGGUUGG